rnacentral:rRNA from 1 species
UCCCAUCCCGAACAGAGAAGUUAAGCCCGGACGCGCCGAUGGUACUGGGGUCACACCCGGGAGAGUAGGUGGCCGCCAACC